rnacentral:tmRNA from 1 species
CCGCUUUGCUUUUUCCCGAAAAUAGGCUAUAUUAAAGAAGUCAGCCGCAAGGCCGACUAUGACGAUAAACGCGCUGUGAAAUAGGCGAUACGGACCCGGGGGCGGUACCCGGCGGCUCCACCAUCUACAAAGGUUUUGCGGAACAGAGUUCUUUCGCAUCCGGUAUGGGGCCGAAAUAGGAUCGACGUGCGUAAUAAAGAUGGUUGCUUUCGUCCGGCAUUGUACCGCCGUUAUCGGGCUACUUUGAUAAAUGCUAACGACAAUCAGCCGGCAACGGCAGAACUCCGCCUCGUCGCUUAACAGCACGUCAGCGUAGUUGGCAUUCAAUUCCCUAGGUAGUGAUACUUAGGGUGGGGCGCGGGGCGGGCCUAGCAACAGAACCGCCCCAUU